rnacentral:lncRNA from 1 species
AUGGUCUCCAAAGAGGGAGAAAGAAAGACAGACCUAGAAAACAUUUAACUCUGAAUAACAAAGUCCAAAAGAAAAGAUGGCAACAAAGAGGAAGAAAAGCCAACACUAGACCUUUGAAAAGAAGAAGAAAAAGAGGUCCAAGAAUUCCCAAAGAUGAAAAUAUUAAUUUUAAACAAUCUGAACUUCCUGUGACCUGUGGUGAGGUGAAGGGCACUCUAUAUAAGGAGCGAUUCAAACAAGGAACCUCAAAGAAGUGUAUACAGAGUGAGGAUAAAAAGUGGUUCACUCCCAGGGAAUUUGAAAUUGAAGGAGACCGCGGAGCAUCCAAGAACUGGAAGCUAAGUAUACGCUGCGGUGGAUAUACCCUGAAAGUCCUGAUGGAGAACAAAUUUCUGCCAGAACCACCAAGCACAAGAAAAAAGAGAAUACUGGAAUCUCACAACAAUACCUUAGUUGACCCUUCCGGAAAACUCAAAUAUAUGUGAGGUGUGCAACAAAUGGGGACGGCUGUUCUGCUGCGACACUUGUCCAAGAUCCUUUCAUGAGCACUGCCACAUCCCAUCCGUGGAAGCUAACAAGAACCCGUGGAGUUGCAUCUUCUGCAGGAUAAAGACUAUUCAGGAAAGAUGCCCAGAAAGCCAAUCAGGUCAUCAGGAAUCUGAAGUCCUGAUGAGGCAGAUGCUGCCUGAGGAGCAAAAUGUGAAUUCCUCCUCUUGAAGGUCUACUGUGAUUCGAAAAGCUGCUUUUUCGCCUCAGAACCGUAUUAUAACAGAGAGGGGUCUCAGGGCCCACAGAAGCCCAUGUGGUUAAACAAAGUCAAGACAAGUUUGAAUGAGCAGAUGUACACCCGAGUAGAAGGGUUUGUGCAGGACAUGCGUCUCAUCUUUCAUAACCACAAGGAAUUUUACAGGGAAGAUAAAUUCACCAGACUGGGAAUUCAAGUACAGGACAUCUUUGAGAAGAAUUUCAGAAACAUUUU